AAGGCCCCCUUUGAGGAAAGUCCGGGCACCGCAGGGCAGAAUGCCGGCUAACGGCCGGCGGAGGCGACUCUAGGGAUAGUGCCACAGAAAUAAACCGCCUUCUUCGGAGGGUAAGGGUGGAACGGUGCGGUAAGAGCGCACCGGCGGCUUGGCAACAAGUCGGCCAGGUAAACCCCAUUCGGUGCAAGACCGCAUAGGAAAGUAUUGGGCGGCCCGUUCAGCUUUCGGGUAAGGUCGCGCGAGCCCUUUGGCAACAAAGGGCCAAGAUAGAUGAUGAUCAAAUAGAUUAGCACAGAACCCGGCUUACGGAUUUGCUU
rnacentral:RNase_P_RNA from 1 species